AGCGAACGUUAGCGGCGCGCCUAACACAUGCAAGUCGCACGAGAGUGGAGCAAUCCAUGAAAGUGGCGCACGGGUGCGUAACACGUAGAUAAUCUGCCCUUUGGAGGGGGAUAACGUUCCGAAAGGAGCGCUAAUACCGCGUAAAGCCGAGCUUGGUUUGCCGAGCUCGGGCAAAGACUGGGACCGUAAGGCCAGUCGCCGAAGGAGGAGUCAGCGGCCCAUCAGCUAGUUGGUAAGGUAAUGGCUUACCAAGGCAGAGACGGGUAGCUGGUCUGAGAGGAUGAUCAGCCACACUGGUACUGGAACACGGACCAGACUCCUACGGGAGGCAGCAGUGGGGAAUCUUGGUCAAUGGGCGCAAGCCUGAACCAGCGACGCCGCGUGAGUGAUGAAGGCCUUCGGGUUGUAAAGCUCUGUGGGGAGGGACGAAAGACUGAGGUCUAAUAGGCUUCAGGUUGACGGUACCUCCUUAGCAAGCACCGGCUAACUCUGUGCCAGCCGCCGCGGUAAAAC
rnacentral:rRNA from 1 species